CUUUAUCGGAGAGUUUGAUCCUGGCUCAGGACGAACGCUGGCGGCGUGCCUAAUACAUGCAAGUCGAGCGGACAGAUGGGAGCUUGCUCCCUGAUGUUAGCGGCGGACGGGUGAGUAACACGUGGGUAACCUGCCUGUAAGACUGGGAUAACUCCGGGAAACCGGGGCUAAUACCGGAUGGUUGUUUGAACCGCAUGGUUCAGACAUAAAAGGUGGCUUCGGCUACCACUUACAGAUGGACCCGCG
rnacentral:rRNA from 1 species